UACGAACUGUGCGAACGUUAUUCGGAAUCACUGGGCUUACAGGGUGCGUAGGCGGCUCAACAAGUCAGGUGUGAAAGCCCCCGGCUCAACCGGGGAACUGCGCUUGAAACUGUUAGGCUCGAGUCAGCUAGAGGUACACGGAACUUCCAGUGGAGCGGUGAAAUGUGUUGAUAUUGGAAGGAACACCGGAGGCGAAAGCGGUGUACUGGGCUGGUCUGACGCUGAGGCACGAAAGCCAGGGAGCGAACGGG
rnacentral:rRNA from 1 species